CUCUGCUGAUUAUGAGCCAUGCCUCAGUUUCCUCAUCUGUAAAAUGGGCAAAUAUCUGCAUCACAAGACUAAUAUGGAGAAGGAACAAAUCAGAUGAGAGAAUAUCAAGUAAUUACAGCUCAAAUUUCUACAAGCACCUUCAGGUUUACAAAAUGUUUUCUUCCAAAAUCUAAUGAGGAAAAUAAUCUUUGCACAAGAAAUGUCGGAACAAAUAAGGACUUGAUACCCAAGAUAAGUAGAACACUGAUAAGAGAAGACCUAGCUAUUGUUGGUUCGGAUGCUUCCCAUUCUCCACUUGGUGGAUAGCAUAUGCUAUCUGUGUGGUGUUUCAAACAGAGGUAUUAGACCCUACCCAUCAAUGGCAUGAAACGGUGUUUCAAUUACUCCUUACUAAACACAUCAGAAAAGAUGAAGUUGAACCAUGACAGGACGGAAAUGACAUUACCACUUCAUAAGCUUUCUCAUAACCGUCUGGAUUGG